rnacentral:rRNA from 1 species
AGUCGAACGGGGUUUAUAUAACAGAACUCUCCGGAGGGAAGAUAUAUAAACCUAGUGGCGGACGGGUGAGUAACGCGUGGGCAACCUGCCCUGUACCGGGGGACAACAGCCAGAAAUGGCUGCUAAUACCGCAUAAGCCUGCUGUGCCGCAUGGCACAGCAGGGAAAACCACGGUGGUACAGGAUGGGCCCGCGUCUGAUUAGUUAGUUGGCAGGGUAACGGCCUACCAAGACAACGAUCAGUAGCCGGCUUGAGAGAGUGGACGGCCACAUUGGGACUGAGACACGGCCCAGACUCCUGCGGGAGGCAGCAGUGGGGAAUAUUGCACAAUGGGGGGAACCCUGAUGCAGCAAUGCCGCGUGGGUGAAGAAGCACUCCGGUGCGUAAAGCCCUGUCAGCAGGGAAGAAAAUGACAGUACCCUGAACAAGAAGCCCCCGGCUAACUACGUGCCAACAGCCGCGGUAAUACGUAGGGGGCAAGCGUUAUCCGGAUUUACUGGGUGUAAAGGGAGCGCAGGCGGCGUGGCAAGUCAGAUGUGAAAACCCGGGGCCCAACCCCGGGAGUGCAUUUGAAACUGCCAUGCUGGAGUGCCGGAGAGGUAAGCGGAAUUCCUAGUGUAGCGGUGAAAUGCGUAGAUCUUUUGGGGAACACCAGUGGCGGAGGCGGCUUA